ACUCCUACGGGAGGCAGCAGUGGGGAAUAUUGGACAAUGGGCGCAAGCCUGAUCCAGCCAUGCCGCGUGAGUGAUGAAGGCCCUAGGGUUGUAAAGCUCUUUCACCGGAGAAGAUAAUGACGGUAUCCGGAGAAGAAGCCCCGGCUAACUUCGUGCCAGCAGCCGCGGUAAUACGAAGGGGGCUAGCGUUGUUCGGAAUUACUGGGCGUAAAGCGCACGUAGGCGGAUCGAUCAGUCAGGGGUGAAAUCCCAGGGCUCAACCCUGGAACUGCCUUUGAUACUGUCGAUCUGGAGUAUGGAAGAGGUGAGUGGAAUUCCGAGUGUAGAGGUGAAAUUCGUAGAUAUUCGGAGGAACACCAGUGGCGAAGGCGGCUCACUGGUCCAUUACUGACGCUGAGGUGCGAAAGCGUGGGGAGCAAACAGGAUUAGAUACCCUUGUAGUCCCAUG
rnacentral:rRNA from 1 species